UCUCCAGUAAGGUUCAUCCUCACCUGUUACUCCUUCUGAAGAGUUACAGAUCAUGAUGAAUUUAUGAGAGAUCAUUAAUAUUUCCAUCUUGUAGGAAACAGCAACAACCGACCAAACCAUUCUGAA